rnacentral:other from 1 species
UCAACCCUGGGGUGUACGCCAGUUGCUCACGUCCUCGAGCCUAUGAUUUAUAUACAGGACGCCGCCUGGCUCUACCCGUGAGCAAGUCCGCCAUGCAGCGGAAAGCCUUCGGUAGACCGGUUGCUUCCACCUUGAACUUUAGGGUUCAAGGGCCACGACAACAGCGGCACUCUGGGGCUUUA